CCUACGGGCGGCAGCAGUAGGGAAUAUUGCACAAUGGGCGCAAGCCUGAUGCAGCCAUGCCGCGUGUGUGAAGAAGGCCUUCGGGUUGUAAAGCACUUUCAGCGGGGAGGAAGGCGUUAAGGUUAAUAACCUUGGCGAUUGACGUUACCCGCAGAAGAAGCACCGGCUAACUCCGUGCCAGCAGCCGCGGUAAUACGGAGGGUGCAAGCGUUAAUCGGAAUUACUGGGCGUAAAGCGCACGCAGGCGGUCUGUCAAGUCGGAUGUGAAAUCCCCGGGCUCAACCUGGGAACUGCAUUCGAAACUGGCAGGCUAGAGUCUUGUAGAGGGGGGUAGAAUUCCAGGUGUAGCGGUGAAAUGCGUAGAGAUCUGGAGGAACACCGAUGGCGAAGGCAGCCCCCUGGGCCUGUACUGACGCUCAUGCACGAAAGCGUGGGGAGCAAACAGGAUUAGAUACCCCUGUAGUC
rnacentral:rRNA from 1 species